CCGAAGCAGUAGCUGAUAAGCCACAAAUUCGACUGAUCCGUCGUUACCUGCUAAAUCUGAUGUUUCAAUUACAUACAAGGCUCCCAGAUGGCAAAACAAGGCUGCAUCAGAUAGUUUAUACCUAAGUUCAUGUUUUGCUCUACAGAUCGAUCUUCUAGGCCAACAAAAAAUAUUUUGUUUGAACAAAUGAAAUUCGUUGAGCUCGAAAGUGAUUUCUCACUUCGGCAAUGGCUGGUGCAAGUUCAAGAAUGGAUGGAGCCGAUUAUUCCGGAAAGUGUGUCUGAAUGUACUGAAAGUGAUUAUGACUGUGCUGCAGAAAAAAGGCACAUCUGCUGACGCUAUGUCCGGCAUUGAAUUUCCGUGUGCAUUGUUUUACAAAAAGUAUUGUAGUUCAGGAGCAGAUAACAGUACAGGCACCAAACUCAUAUCUAAUUAUGCAGAAACAAAUGUUCUUUCUUGCAGGACGAGUGGUGAAGGAGGAAGACAAAACACAAUUUAUGAUUUUACCUCCUGAAAAUGAAUUUUUUUCUGUAAAUAUUAUUUUUAAAUUUUUCAAAAUCGUUUGUAAGCUAAUUAUAACAUUACGAUAUAUGA